rnacentral:rRNA from 1 species
UACGGAGGUCCCGAACGUUGCCCGGAUUUACUGGGCGUAAAGGGUGCGUAGGCGGUCUAUCAAGUGGGUGGUUAAAUUUCACGGCUCAACCGCGAAACUGCGUUCCAAACUGCGAGACUUGAGGGAGGGAGAGGGCAGCGGAAUUCUCGGUGUAGCGGUGAAAUGCGUAGAUACCGGGAGGAACGCCAGUGGCGAAGGCGGCUGACUGGAAGUGUCCUGACGCUGAGGGACGAAAGCUAGGGGAGCAAACCGG